CCUGCGAACUCUCGCUUUGCUUAGCUAUCGCGAGAUGUAGGCGGCCUCAGCCUCGUCUCUGGGUUCUGAUCUUUUGGUGCACCUAGGGAAGCGACGCUGGGAGCCGCGAGAGGCUAUCCUGGGUACGGGGGCCGCAUUAUUUGGCUCAAAAUGUCAAAACAGUUCUAACAGGCUUUCCUAAUCCAAGCAAAACAAGUAAAAAAAAAAUAUCUCAAGCAAAUCAAUGAUGGUGACCAGAGAAGAGUUAGGGAAGAUAGCAUAUCCAGAGACUCAGAGAAAUAUGCUGAAAUGGUCACCAUUCACUGGUUGUCACAGAAAUGACAAUGAUUACAAGGUAGGAAGGAUGUUGAACACCAGACAAGGAAGAUGAGGUCUCAGUGCAACAGGUGACCCUCUAAUAACUCACAAAGUAGUCUGUAC
rnacentral:lncRNA from 1 species